rnacentral:rRNA from 1 species
CCGGAAUUAUUGGGCGUAAAGCGCGCGCAGGCGGUUUCUUAAGUCUGCUGUGAAAGCCCACGGCUCAACCGUGGAGGGUCAUUGGAAACUGGGGAACUUGAGUGCAGAAGAGAAAAGCGGAAUUCCACGUGUAGCGGUGAAAUGCGUAGAGAUGUGGAGGAACACCAGUGGCGAAGGCGGCUUUGUGGUCUGUAACUGACGCUGAGGCGCGAAAGCGUGGGGAGCAAACAGG